rnacentral:rRNA from 1 species
UACGGAGGAUCCAAGCGUUAUCCGGAUUUAUUGGGUUUAAAGGGUGCGUAGGCGGCUUUUUAAGUCAGGGGUGAAAGACGGUAGCUUAACUAUCGCAGUGCCCUUGAUACUGAAGAGCUUGAAUGUACUAGAAGUAGGCGGAAUAUGUCAUGUAGCGGUGAAAUGCUUAGAUAUGACAUAGAACACCUAUUGCGAAGGCAGCUUACUACGCAGAUAUUGACGCUCAUGCACGAAAGCGUGGGGAUCAAACAGG